GCGUCUCCUACUGCACAAGUAAAUGUACAAAGAAAAUCCAGUGAGAAGCAAAUUUUCUAAAAAAGAAACAGUGAAAGGAAAGAAGAAGAAAAAAUAAGUACAUUUAUCUUUAUCUUAUCAGAGCUUUGGCUUCUUCGAGAAGAAGGGGUUCAUAAUCUUGAAGGAAAGAGGAGAAACUACUGUUGAUUUUUCGCGGACGAAAAAGUCCCAACUAAGAACAAUCUUGCAGAAGCGGGCAAUGGAAGCGUCUUCUUCAAGCUUGUCUUUGUCCACAGCCAUUGAGAGACACAGAGUGACUGAAACAGAGUUUUCAAAUUCUCAGUGAGAAAGGAUACACAAGAUUUUUGGCCAAAGGUAUUUAACUGAUAACAGCUGCCUCAUCACACUUGUCUCUGGCCUUCAUCCUUUCUCAGAGAUUUGGACUUGGAUUGUCACCUGGUGUGGUGGUGAUUAUGGAUCAAUCUCACUCAGUGCCAGUGGUGCCUUUCCAGCAACAAAUCGUAAGAAAGCUUCUCCUAAUCAGGCUCUACUGUCAGGAGCUCCUCAAACAUGGCAUUUCUUGCUUCUGGUUCAGGCCGAGGCAUAAGUUCUAAUUUUUCAUGAGAACACGAUUAAUCAACAUACACAGGUGAUAUUAGUGAGGAGAAUCAAACUUAUGAUCUUGGGUGCAUAGACGAAUGUUCUUAACCACUCGAGCUACUUGCGGAUGCUCAAUAUACUUGAUCAUGUAAAAAAAACUGCAGAUAGAUGAGAAUGCAAACAAGGGCCAAAGUCCUUGUUCCAUAUCUAUACCA